rnacentral:rRNA from 1 species
AGAGUUUGAUCAUGGCUCAGAUUGAACGCUGGCGGCAUGCCUUACACAUGCAAGUCGAACGGUAACAGGUUAAGCUGACGAGUGGCGAACGGGUGAGUAAUAUAUCGGAACGUGCCUGGUUGUGGGGGAUAACGUAGCGAAAGCUACGCUAAUACCGCAUACGAUCUAAGGAUGAAAGCGGGGGAUCGCAAGACCUUGCGCAAUCAGAGCGGCCGAUAUCAGAUUAGCUAGUUGGUGGGGUAAGGCUCACCAAGGCGACGAUCUGUAGCUGGUCUGAGAGGACGACCAGUCACACUGGAACUGAGACACGGUCCAGACUCCUACGGGAGGCAGCAGUGGGGAAGUUUGGACAAUGGGCGCAAGCCUGAUCCAGCAAUGCCGCGUGCAGGAUGAAGGCCUUCGGGUUGUAAACUGCUUUUGUACGGAGCGAAACGGCUCUCUUUAAUACGGGGGGUUAAUGACGGUACCGUAAGAAUAAGCACCGGCGAACUACGUGCCAGCAGCCGCCGCGGUAAUUC